GCGCAGAGCUCCCCCUGGGCCCGCGAACUUGGCCAUUCAGCCAGCGCUGUCCCCGCUGCGCGCCCUCGCGCCUCUGCCCGAGAAGCCAGGCGCUGUUCCUGCACCACAGAAGAUGGCAAAGGUGGCUAAGGACCUCAAGCAAGGAGUUCAAAAGAUGUCCCUGGGCCAGCAGCAGUCAGCAAGAGGUGUGCCUUGUUUGAAAUGCAAGGGGACGUGUUCAGGCUUCGAGCCACAUCCAUGGAGGUAACAGAAUUUGUCAGGAGAGGCUCUGCCUGCUUUCAUUUCUUGGCUGUCCUUUCUGGGAACCACUGGUCAUUCUGCUCUGCUGGGACUGCUUAAGAUGCAUGCAUUUCAGGGAGGACUUGGUCUGGAGUGAAUGCACUCCUGCUUUGCCUAAUUCAGAAAUGACAGAGAGGCCCUUGGGAGCCAAGAUGAGAAAGGAGUUUAGUGCUUCACACACCAUUUCGAGGCGAGGAUCACCAAGCUCAGCCCACCAAGGCCGCACUGGGAAGAUGUGAGCAGUUGUUAGUCGGUGCCUGGUCCUCUCUGGAUUGCUGUAUCCUGGGUCUUGGUGCAUGCGGUUGAUCUCCCCAUACUGUGUAAUCGCCCCUGUUUUGAUCUGAGUGCCCCUGGGCCCGAAAUAAAAGUCACUGUGUCCACAGGACUUAAAAA